rnacentral:rRNA from 1 species
CCUACGGGAGGCAGCAGUGGGGAAUAUUGCGCAAUGGGCGAAAGUCUGAUGGAGCAACGCCGCGUGAGUGAAGAAGGGUUUCGGCGCGUAAAGCUCUGUUGGUAGUGAAGAAAGAUAGAGGUAGUAAGUCGCCUUUAUUUGACGGUAAUUACUUAGAAAGUCAAGGCUAACUACGUGCCAGCAGCCGCGGUAAUACGUAGGUGGCAAGCGUUGUCCGGAUUUAUUGGGCGUAAAGCGAGUGGAGUGGGUUCAAUAAGUCUGAUGUGAAAGCCUUCGGCUCAACCGGAGAAUUGCAUCAGAAACUGUUGAACUUGAGUGCAGAAGAGGAGAGUGGAACUCGAGGUGUAGCGGUGGAAUGCGUAGAUAUAUGGAAGAACACCAGUGGCGAAGGCGGCUCUCUGGUCUGCAACUGACGCUGAGGCUCGAAAGCAUGGGUAGCGAACAGGAUUAGAUACCCGGGUAGUC